rnacentral:rRNA from 1 species
GAUGAACGCUGGCGGCGUGCCUAAUACAUGCAAGUCGAGCGAACGGACGAGAAGCUUGCUUCUCUGAUGUUAGCGGCGGACGGGUGAGUAACACGUGGAUAACCUACCUAUAAGACUGGGAUAACUUCGGGAAACCGGAGCUAAUACCGGAUAAUAUUUUGAACCGCAUGGUUCAAAAGUGAAAGACGGUCUUGCUGUCACUUAUAGAUGGAUCCGCGCUGCAUUAGCUAGUUGGUAAGGUAACGGCUUACCAAGGCAACGAUGCAUAGCCGACCUGAGAGGGUGAUCGGCCACACUGGAACUGAGACACGGUCCAGACUCCUACGGGAGGCAGCAGUAGGGAAUCUUCCGCAAUGGGCGAAAGCCUGACGGAGCAACGCCGCGUGAGUGAUGAAGGUCUUCGGAUCGUAAAACUCUGUUAUUAGGGAAGAACAUAUGUGUAAGUAACUGUGCACAUCUUGACGGUACCUAAUCAGAAAGCCACGGCUAACUACGUGCCAGCAGCCGCGGUAAUACGUAGGUGGCAAGCGUUAUCCGGAAUUAUUGGGCGUAAAGCGCGCGUAGGCGGUUUUUUAAGUCUGAUGUGAAAGCCCACGGCUCAACCGUGGAGGGUCAUUGGAAACUGGAAAACUUGAGUGCAGAAGAGGAAAGUGGAAUUCCAUGUGUAGCGGUGAAAUGCGCAGAGAUAUGGAGGAACACCAGUGGCGAAGGCGACUUUCUGGUCUGUAACUGACGCUGAUGUGCGAAAGCGUGGGGAUCAAACAGGAUUAGAUACCCUGGUAGUCCACGCCGUAAACGAUGAGUGCUAAGUGUUAGGGGGUUUCCGCCCCUUAGUGCUGCAGCUAACGCAUUAAGCACUCCGCCUGGGGAGUACGACCGCAAGGUUGAAACUCAAAGGAAUUGACGGGGACCCGCACAAGCGGUGGAGCAUGUGGUUUAAUUCGAAGCAACGCGAAGAACCUUACCAAAUCUUGACAUCCUUUGACAACUCUAGAGAUAGAGCCUUCCCCUUCGGGGGACAAAGUGACAGGUGGUGCAUGGUUGUCGUCGGCUCGUGUCGUGAGAUGUUGGGUUAAGUCCCGCAACGAGCGCAACCCUUAAGCUUAGUUGCCAUCAUUAAGUUGGGCACUCUAAGUUGACUGCCGGUGACAAACCGGAGGAAGGUGGGGAUGACGUCAAAUCAUCAUGCCCCUUAUGAUUUGGGCUACACACGUGCUACAAUGGACAAUACAAAGGGCAGCGAAACCGCGAGGUCAAGCAAAUCCCAUAAAGUUGUUCUCAGUUCGGAUUGUAGUCUGCAACUCGACUACAUGAAGCUGGAAUCGCUAGUAAUCGUAGAUCAGCAUGCUACGGUGAAUACGUUCCCGGGUCU